rnacentral:rRNA from 1 species
UACGUAGGGGCUAGCGUUGUCCGGAAUCAUUGGGCGUAAAGAGCGUGUAGGCGGUCCGGUAAGUCCGCUGUGAAAGUCGGGGGCUCAACCCUCGAAUGCCGGUGGAUACUGUCGGGCUAGAGUGCGGAAGAGGCGAGUGGAAUUCCUGGUGUAGCGGUGAAAUGCGCAGAUAUCAGGAAGAACACCAAUGGCGAAGGCAGCUCUCUGGGACGGUACUGACGCUGAGACGCGAAAGCGUGGGGAGCGAACAGG